GAUUCUUAAACCUCGAAUUCGACGGCGUGGUUGAUUUUUAUUCUCGUAGGAAUUAGGGCGUAAGUUAGCUGAGUCGACUCUGGGAGGAUGUUUUUUACCGGUGAUCCAACCACUCGGAAGCGAGUUGAUUUGGGAGGCCGGAGCUCCAAGGAGAGAGACAGACAGAAACUUAUUGAGCAAACUAGAUUGGAGCGAAACCGUCGAUUGUGGUUGCGCCAACAGAAUUCGGCUGCAAUAAAAAUUCAGAAAUGCUUUAGAGGGAGAAAGGCUGUGGAAGCUGAGCAUGAUAAGGUGCGAGAUCAGUUCUAUAGAACCUAUGGGAAGAGUUACCUAAAUAUUAACAGGCAAUCUUUUGGUCCAGAUUCAGAGUUCCUACGCAAUCUAUUCUUUUUCUUCAAUGCACAAAAUAAUGGUGAUUUUACUGUCCUUGUGGAGACCUGCCGAUUGCUUUUGCAACUUGUUCAAGAUAAUGGGGAUAUCAUUAGUCUGUUUGGUGG
rnacentral:misc_RNA from 1 species